CCCGAGACCAGAGUCCCAUCCUGACAGCUGUUGUCCUGGCGUGCUCGCGUUCUCGGAGAGCCUCCUGGUCUCGGCUCACUGGGAGGGCGGCAAGUGCCCUGGGGUGCCCAGAUCAGAAAUGGAG